UACGUAGGGGGCAAGCGUUGUCCGGAUUUAUUGGGCGUAAAGAGCGUGUAGGCGGCCUGAAAGGUCAGCUGUGAAAACUCGAGGCUCAACCUCGAGACGUCGGUUGAAACCAUCUGGCUAGAGUCCGGAAGAGGAGUGUGGAAUUCCCGGUGUAGCGGUGAAAUGCGCAGAUAUCGGGAAGAACACCGAAGGCGAAAGCACUCUGCUGGGCCGAAACUGACACUGAUAGACGAAAGCUAGGGGAGCAAAUGGG
rnacentral:rRNA from 1 species